rnacentral:lncRNA from 1 species
UGGUUUUGGUUGUGUGCCAACUUUUUGAAGAGGGUUUGAUCUGCGAUUUGAAAUACUUGGCGUUUCCUAAGUAAUUGGAUGAUUUUUGAGACUUGGGCUGUGCAGAGCUUUCAGUUUUCGGAUAUUUGAUAUUUUCCAAGGAUUACAUUACAGGCUAUAGUGCUGACAUGUUUUCAGGAGCAAACAAGGUCAGAAAAGGUCCCUGAAUAGCUUUUUGUCUUUGCCAAGGACAACUGGAAAUCAGCACAAUAAAGUCGUAUGUAAUGCACAGACAGAAACAAACUCAGACUGUCCUCCUCGUUAAGUUUAAAGAGAAGCAAGGUCUUGUUUACCGACAGGAACGGCUGGCGGGGCAAGGAAUAUGACGAGUUUGGGGACCCAUCUUCACAAGAGCGAACUGGAGGAUCAAGGCUUACCUAGAUGGGAAGCAGGGGUACAGAGAAUGCAUUUGUUUCAACAUGAAAAAGCAGUCGUUCCUAAAUCUGGAGCUGAUUACACCAAGGCAGAUCCUACGGGGCGUUUCGGGAAGCACCCAUUAGCAAACCAGAGCACUGAUUCCUGUCCUCACGGGUGGGGGUGCUUGCUGCCCCUCUGCGCACAGCCAGAUGGACAUCGGCACUCUGCUCCUAGGAUCAUCACCAGCAGGAGACCAGACCCCAGGCAGGGCCUACACCCUGUUGACACCGCAGAUUUUGACAGCAGAUUUCCACUCUCUGCUUGCCAGUGGGUACCGUCACACUGUUUUGGGUGGGGGGCUCCUGCCUGGGACUUCUGGCUCCAUAAGCCCUACAAGAAGCGGUGCACAGACAUCCUCCUCCUGCCUCGGAAAGGGAAGGAAUCAUCAAGCAGGAUUUCUGAGGAUCUCAGUCUUGUAGUCUAG